rnacentral:rRNA from 1 species
AGAGUUUGAUCCUGGCUCAGGAUGAACGCUAGCUACAGGCUUAACACAUGCAAGUCGAGGGGCAGCAUGGUCUUAGCUUGCUAAGGCUGAUGGCGACCGGCGCACGGGUGAGUAACACGUAUCCAACCUGCCGUCUACUCUUGGCCAGCCUUCUGAAAGGAAGAUUAAUCCAGGAUGGCAUCAUGAGUUCACAUGUCCGCAUGAUUAAAGGUAUUUUCCGGUAGACGAUGGGGAUGCGUUCCAUUAGAUAGUAGGCGGGGUAACGGCCCACCUAGUCAACGAUGGAUAGGGGUUCUGAGAGGAAGGUCCCCCACAUUGGAACUGAGACACGGUCCAAACUCCUACGGGAGGCAGCAGUGAGGAAUAUUGGUCAAUGGGCGAUGGCCUGAACCAGCCAAGUAGCGUGAAGGAUGACUGCCCUAUGGGUUGUAAACUUCUUUUAUAAAGGAAUAAAGUCGGGUAUGCAUACCCGUUUGCAUGUACUUUAUGAAUAAGGAUCGGCUAACUCCGUGCCAGCAGCCGCGGUAAUACGGAGGAUCCGAGCGUUAUCCGGAUUUAUUGGGUUUAAAGGGAGCGUAGAUGGAUGUUUAAGUCAGUUGUGAAAGUUUGCGGCUCAACCGUAAAAUUGCAGUUGAUACUGGAUGUCUUGAGUGCAGUUGAGGCAGGCGGAAUUCGUGGUGUAGCGGUGAAAUGCUUAGAUAUCACGAAGAACUCCGAUUGCGAAGGCAGCCUGCUAAGCUGCAACUGACAUUGAGGCUCGAAAGUGUGGGUAUCAAACAGGAUUAGAUACCCUGGUAGUCCACACGGUAAACGAUGAAUA